UAUUGACCAAUACGGACGUGUUUUUAAAGCGCUCUGAAAAAAGUUUUGACUUUUAAAUUUUUUUUACUACGACAGAAUCUUAGUUGACUGAUGGUCUUUGACAAAGACAGACUUGUUUUUGUGAGCUCUGAAAAAAAUUUGACUUUGAAAUAUUUUUACGAUUAAAAAGUUUCAGUUGACUUUUGAACGUUGACGAAGACGGACGUACUUUCGUGAGCUCUGACUAUUGAUGAAAAGUUUUCGCGUUAUAGAAUAGCGACUUGGUACUCAGGUUGUUGAAUGACUGGAUGACUGAAGUGUUAGGUUAUUGUUAUGAGAUAACAACUUGACUUUGACUUGAGUUGUGAAAUGAAAUCAUACUCUUAUGCGAUGUUAACUUUUGAACGUUUAGUAUUGACUGACAACGAAAUUUUGUGAGCGUUAUAUAUGAAAUGUUUGACUUACAUUAAUUUUUUUGAACGACUUGACUUCACUUUAAGUUUUGACAUCGGACUGAUCGGACGUGUUUUUUUAAGCUCUGACUGUUGUGAAUAAUUAAAUUUAUGUUGUGGUGUCAAGCGAUUGACUGUCAGUUGAGGUUCAGAUGUCGAGCUGUGCGGACGUGUUCAUCGAGCUGCUGUCUACAAAAAACGUGAGUACAAAUUUUUUUCGUUUUACUGUUUACAAGUUGCGUGAUGAUGUAUGAUGGUUGUAAUGUGUUGGGUAGAAAUUACUCAGUGCUGAUACAGUGUCGAUAUGUUGUGAUGAGCGAUAAUAGUGGAUGAUGGUGGAACAGAAUAUUCAUUGAGCUAUUUUGAGGAAGCGAACAUAUGAUGGAAAAAUGUUGCAAAAAUAUUAAAUGCAUGUGCUUAUAUGUACUAAAUAUGAUAUUGCUUUACUUGUAUUUGCAUGCUGUUAACAUUUCUAUUUUAUUCCAGUGGGCUGUGGUGAGUAUUGCAGAUUUAACUUGUAUGUGUGGUUUUUAGUUAACGAUGCUUAAUGAAAACUGUUAUUGUACACUUAGUAUGGAAUGAUGUGAAUGAUGAUAUGAUGGGUAGAAUUAAUCAGUGCUUGUGUCUAGAAAUGCUGAAUGUUUAUUGAAAAGGCUAAAUGCUAGCCAGUACUAAGAGUUGAGCUACCGUGGGAAUGUGAAACGAACUGAUGGUGUAAUAUGAUGGUGUAUUGACAUACUUUUCUUAUAUGUACUAAAUAUGAUAUUGCUUUACUUGUAUUUGCAUGCUGUUAACAUUUCUAUUUUGUUCCAGUGUGCUGUGGUGAGUACUGUAGAUAUUACUUGAUUUUUAGUGUCUAUGAAUGCUGAUGUAUGAUAGCUAUAGCAUGAGCUCAAUGCUAACCAGUAUUAUGAGUUGAUGUAUUGUGGUGAUGCUAAUCGAACUGAUGAUGUAACAUGAUGGUGAACACUUACUGAAUGCAUAAAAUUUAUUGAAUUGCAUUUGUUGAUAUGCACUAUAAUAUGAUAAAUGUAUUGCUUAACAUGUAUAUUUCAUGAUGUUUAAUUUCAGUGGGCUGUGGUGAGUACUGUAGAUUGUAUUGCCUAUGUAUAGAAUUCAAUAAAAGAUUAUGACUGAAAACUGCUUUUGAUUCUUUUUGAACAGUUUUAGGGACUAUAAGUCUAUAACAAAAAUAUGUCGGUUGGCGUUCAUACAGCAAUGUUUUGAGUAGUACAGAAAUGUUUCUACGUUUGUGGUCGCCAGUUGUCUGUGAUGUGUAAAGUGAAAAAUACACGGAGCUUUGAAUACAACAAACAGUUACUGUUUUAACACAGAUUGUGUGCUAUGCAUUUUUCGAUGUAGAUCUUUUUCAGAUUUGACAUGAAAUGUAGACCUGACAUUUGAACAGAGCUGGGAAACGAAAAGGUAAGUUUGUUAAAUUUCACAAUGAACACUUGUGUUUUGACAAAAGAAGAGAUAAAGUGAGUUUUGUCAUCAUCAUGGUUUCUUUCAGAGUAUAACUCGUGAACAGAUGAAAACCUAUUUUUUGCUAGAUUUUCAUGUACUCUUUAUUUGGAUGAUAAGUAUGUCAGUAACUCAAAAUCAUACGGCUAGUACAGUAUGGAACAUGAAUGCUUUGUUCAGAUUUUCAGAUGUGUGCUGGCAGUUCAAGUCUGGCAGCUGAAGUGAACAGUCGUGUUUUCUGGAGCUCCAACAAUAUGCUAGAAGGUAAGUAACUAUGUUUGUUUUGCAUUGCAUGUUUUUAUAUGUUUCAGACUUUCAAGCAGAGAUGUCAUGCUGACUGGAGUUGAGCACAGGGCAGUGACAAAGUGAAAGGUAAGUACUUUUGACUGAAUGUUUGUUCUAUGCAUGUUUUGUUUUAAUACAUUUCAGGAGUGCUUAUCCAGUGAUGAUAUGACAGUUGGAGUGAACAGUGGAGCCAAGCAGUCUUGUUUUUAGAGCUACUCAACAAGCCUUGAAGGUAAGUUUAGAAUUUCUCAAUGUUAGUGAAUUGAAGUACUGUCACUUGCUUUUGGACAGUCGAACAGAACAGACGUGGUUGCGAGAGCUCUCAUAUCUGUUGUGUUAAACUGUUUUUAUGAUAUGUUAUGUUUGUUUGUUUGUUUGUGAUGUACUAUUUUUCAGAUGCUGAUGGCAGUGAUGGGUUUUCAAGCUGACCUGAACAGAAAAGCACUCAUAUGGUAAGUACAAAAUAGUUGUUAUAUGGGAUGUUUUGUGCAUGCUUUUAUGUUUCAGGUGUACUUGCUGACAGCGACGAAGACGAAUCAAGAAGAGGAACAUUGUUGAGAAAGUGAUUGGGACUUGCAAACAGGGUAAGUGUAACACUUGUGUUUGUUUAAUUUGUAACAUGCGUGCUUUGCUCUGUUUCAGAUUUCACAUGCAGAAAUUAAACAGGAUUUCAACUGCUGAGACACAAUUCAUCAAAAGUAAGGUAAGUUUUAAUUCAUUGAUUUGAGUUGUACAAUGUGUUCUUUACUUUAUUUCAGAUUCGAGUCACUGGUUUACACAUGGAAGAAGAUUUCCACGUCUGUUACUCAACUCUACAGAAGCAAGAUGUUUUGUUUCAGUUGAUGUCCAGAUGGCAAGCAGUACAGACGUGUUUCUUGGAGCUGCCAAACAGUGAGUACAAACGUUUUAUAUUUUUCAGUUGUUUACUCAUAGAAGUCUGUGAAAGAUGAUAACAAGGGUUGAAUUGCACAGUACUUGUGUCUAAAAAUGCUGAUGUGUGACGGUUUACUGAAAAGGGUAAAUGCUAGCCAGUAACACUUGAGCAACCGUGGGAUGUCGAACUAACUGAUGAUGUACUAUGAUGGUGAACACUUACUAUGUGUAUCGAAAUGCUUUUGUUGUUAUUUAUUAUAGACGAUUUGAUAUUGGUUAACAUUUGUUUGCAUGCUGUUAACAUUUCUAUUUCAUUUCAGUUGGCUGUGGUGAGUAUUGUAGUAUACAUUUGUUUCAAUAAAUCAUGAUGAAUGAAAACUGAUUUCGAUUCUUUUUUACAGUUUUAGGGAUUAUCACUCUAUAACAACUCUGUCGGUUGGUAUUCAUGAGUGUGAGCUUAAUACAGCAAUGUUUGAGUAAUACAAAAAAUGUAUGUACUCUUUUGUGGUCGCCAGUUGUCUGUGAUAUGUAUAGUAAAAAAAACACAACACAAAGCUAUGAAGCAUACAAUUGUUUCAAGGUUUUAUCAAUAAUUGUGUACUGUGCAUGUUUUGAUUUAGUUCGUUUCAGAUAUGACAUGACCUGAAUAUUUGACAGUCGAACAGAGCUGAGCAUUGCAGAAAGGUAAGUGUUUUGUUUGAUAUUUACCAUGCAUACUUUGCUUUGCUCUGUUUCAGAUUCACAUGCAGAAAAGGUCUCAUAGUAGCCUCAACUGUGAAUAAGGAUAUCAACUGCUGUGACUAAACUGUUGAAGAAGGGUAAGUGGAACAAUGUGUUUGUUUUAUAAGUACCAUGUAUGCUUUAUUUUGCUCUGUUUCAGAGUAGACAUACAAACAGUGUCUUGCUUUGCAUGCUAUUUUUCAGGUCUCUCAUGCAGUGAGGGAAAAGAAAAAGAUUUCAAUAAAGAAUCACUGCUGCAACUCAGCUCUUUAAACAAGGUAAGUGUUUACUAUGUUGUAUACAAAAUGUUUCUCUUUCUUACUAUGUUUCAGGUUAACAUUGCAGAGAUGUUUUGACAGCUUGUGACAGAAAAGAAAUUCAGCAGCUGUGUCUUGACUGUAGCCACAAGGUAAGUCGAAACAAAUAUACUGGUUUGUAUGUUGUGUUGUUAUGCCCUUCUAUGUUUCAGACUUACAUUGCUGUGACUGUUCCACAGUGGGUCAAAAAAGAGACGAAUACAGGUUUCAAGAAGAAAAUUGGCUGUUAAAACUCUGCACAAAAUAUGAGGUAAGUGAACUACUCUUUUGGUUUGUGUUGUGCUUUGUUCUGCUUAACUAUUUUUCAGAUUUGAGUGGUGGGUCGUUACAGAGCAGACUUUUUGACAAGUGAGAAAUUGAGAAACAGAGAAUGAUUCAAGAUCAGCUAGGUAAGUCUUGAUUAUUAUGCAUUGCUAAAUGUUGUUUUCAUUCCAGUAUGGCUGUGGUAAGUACACAAACUUUCUAUAAUUUAAUAUUGAACUGUUUUUAUGACCUGUAUUCUGCAUUGUAAAAUGUCUGUUUUUCAUUUCAGUAUCCUGUGGUAAGUACAAUUGCCUUCUUUAAUUUUCAUAUUGAACUGUUUUGAUGACUUGUAUACUACUAUGCAAUGCUUAAUGUUUUUUUCAUUUCAGUAGCCUGUUGGUAAGUACACUAACUUUCUAUAAUUUCAUAGUGAAUUGUUUUGAUGACCUGUAUUCUGCAUUGUAAAAUGUGUUUCUUUUUCAUUUCAGUAUGGCUGUGGUAAGUACAAUUGCCUUUCAUAUUGAACUGUUUUGAUGACCUGUAUUUUGCAUUGUAAAAUGUGUUUCUUUUUCAUUUCAGUAUGGCUGUGGUAAGUACACAAACUUUCUUUAAUUUUCAUAUUGAACUGUUUUGAUGACUUGUAUUCUGCUAUACAAAAUGUGCUUUUUUCAAUUUCAGGUCAGCAAUGGUAAGUAUAGUGUGUUUUUUUAUGUAUAAUUUUGUAUACAUAUUGUUUUUUUCAUCAUAGCAUGUCUUUUAUAUUUAUGCUUUGUGUAAGUAAAAUGUUCAUUAAAUCAUUCUUAUCUUCAAACUAAAAAUGUAUUGUGCUAUGCAAAAUGUCUGUAUGAUUUCAGUUGCCAGAGGUGAGUACCAUUACAGUUGAAAAGUUAGUUUUGUUUAGUUAAAGUUUUGGUUCACAGUUCUGUUUGUUAUUUGGCAAAAUUUACAUGUAUGCAUUGAGUCUUGAUUUCAGCUAGAUUGUGGACUGAAGAAGAUUGCCAGCAGAGGGAUUGGAUACAAGAUACAAACUUUACUGCUGGACGAGUGUUCUCUACUACUAGACGUGUCAGGUUUACUACCAGGCGAGCAGUGACAACAAGGCGCCUUUGUGGAAACAACACAACAAAAAACUGUACUGCUAGACGAGCAGUGACAGAAAGGCGCCUGAACAUGCAACACAAAACAAAAAAUGCCAAUAUACAAACCUUGAUGUGGACACCGAGUAGUCAAUACAUACGUGUGGCGUACAGCUGCGACAAAACCGUGGGUCCAUCGCACCGAUAACUCGAAUAUUGGCCCGCGUAUGGACAUCAGUGCAACUUUGUGAAUCCAUGUAACUUUGUGAAUCCAUGUAACAUUGCGAAUAUGUGUCGAUCGAAAAAUGUGUACAUUCUGCACUGAAACGAACUCGGUGUUGCAAGUGGCAAGUGUUGACAGUGUGUAUGUUUAUGUUUAUGUUUUUACAUGAAAAAUAAAGGAGAUUGUUCUCCUACCUUUUUUUUCCUUGUUUUAUUGUGCUGGCCAGCAAUAUUGAUGUAUUGAUGUAUGUGUUUGUGUUUAAACUAUGCAAUACCAAAAUCAAACAAAAAAUAAACAUUAACAGUCAUUAACUGUGUUUGGGCGGCCGAGGGGUUUAAGACUCCACAAGUGUGAAGCGCACUGAUAGCACUUGGGGGUAAACACCUCGGUAUUUCGGUGCUAAAAUGUUUUCACGGUGCUUAUUUUGACGCACUGUUAGAACUACCAACCAGUAAAUGAUUGCUUGAUUUAUAAAACAAAUAUUCAGUCUCUACUUUGGCACAAGAGACUCUAAGUAUCAAAUACCAACAAUUUAGACGCAGACAAUCACAUGGUGGUACACCAGUCCGAAUAUACUCAUUGCUCUAGCCAGGAUUGCAAAUUACUUGUGUUGACUAGCAAGGCUCCCUAGUAACGGAGCAGUGUUACUGGCGUUUUUUGGGUCGAUAGUGCUUAGGUGAGGUUUUGCUCGAAUCGGGAGCGGGUCACUCGCUUGGGCGAGUUAGUUUUCGCUCGUAGUUUCCAAUCUGGCUAGAUCAAUGUAAGGUUGUCGUUGACUGCUAUUUGGCAAGCAGAAAGACAACAGCGGUUAAUUAACUGAGUAUGGGCGACCGAGGUAUGUAGGUGUCAAUAGACCGACUCCACAAGUUGCGAAGCGAACCGAUAGCACUUGAGGGGAAACGCCUCGGUUUUCG